AUGUUGACAUUACGAGAGGACAUGGACUUCAGUAACAGUCUCAACAACGCCAGUGUUAUACCACCUUACACUACAACAGCAGCACUGACCUCAGUGUUUUCCACCGCCUCUCCUGUUCCCUGGCCUCCAGACAUUGAUGUCUCCAAUGUGUUUUAUUCAGAUGAGGUCUACUGCUGUCCUUUAACAUUAAUUCAUAAUCACAACACCCAAAUGACAGACACAACUGUCCCCUUUGAUGGCCUGUCACAUGUAAUCACCAAUCUGAGAAAAAACACAGAAAGGUCAGAGAGACAGUGGCAGUGUUCAAAUAUACUUUUUUAUAUAUUUGUGGCUGUCUUCAAGACAUUUUCAUUUAUUCCCAUUCAGAGAAGUGGUUAGAAAAACUGUCGGAGAAACUGAAAUAUUCUACUGACUGUAAAUUGACAGAUUAAAGGCUUGUUCAUCCGACAAAUCCAGAUUAUCAGACGCACAAUGAAACAAUGAAUCAUUAUUAUUGCCUUUACACUGAGAUUAAAAUAUUGCAUUAUGGUCAAUUCAUUGUGUUUUAUAGUUUUUGUUCACUUGCCACUUUCAUUUUUGGCGUCAGUAUAGAGGAUGAAGGGUUGGGUGAAAUCCGCAUAGGCCAGAAUGGGGGCCUGCAGUAAUUCCUGCUUAAGCCUUUGAAAGGCUAUUUCACAUGCGGAAUCCCAGGCGACAGAGGGAGAUCCUCGGCCACGAGGGUGGCCCGAGCCCACAAGAAGUUGGUUCAAU
ensembl:lncRNA